GGCUGGAUGACCGAGCGGUUAAGGUGUUGGUCUCAAGUGACUUCUUGACUCUGAAAAAGGGAUAAGCUUACCAAUCUCGAAAGAGGCGCGCGUUCGAAUCGCGCUUCAGUCA